UUGCCCUAGUAACGGCGAGUGAAGCGGCAACAGCUCAAAUUUGAAAUCUGGCUUCGGCCCGAGUUGUAAUUUGCAGAGGAAGCUUUAGGCGCGGCACCUUCUGAGUCCCCUGGAACGGGGCGCCAUAGAGGGUGAGAGCCCCGUAUAGUUGGAUGCCUAGCCUGUGUAAAGCUCCUUCGACGAGUCGAGUAGUUUGGGAAUGCUGCUCAAAAUGGGAGGUAAAUUUCUUCUAAAGCUAAAUACCGGCCAGAGACCGAUAGCGCACAAGUAGAGUGAUCGAAAGAUGAAAAGCACUUUGAAAAGAGGGUUAAACAGCACGUGAAAUUGUUGAAAGGGAAGCGCUUGUGACCAGACUUGCGCCAGGCUGAUCAUCCGGUGUUCUCACCGGUGCACUCGGCCCGGCACAGGCCAGCAUCGGUUCUCGCGGGGGGAUAAAGGUCUCGGGAACGUAGCUCCUCCGGGAGUGUUAUAGCCCGGGGCGUAAUGCCCUCGCGGGGACCGAGGUUCGCGCAUCUGCAAGGAUGCUGGCGUAAUGGUCAUCAGCGACCCGUCUUGAAACACGGACCAAGGAGUCAAGGUUUUGCGCGAGUGUUUGGGUGUCAAACCCGCACGCGUAAUGAAAGUGAACGUAGGUGAGAGCUUCGGCGCAUCAUCGACCGAUCCUGAUGUUUUCGGAUGGAUUUGAGUAGGAGCGUUAAGCCUUGGACCCGAAAGAUGGUGAACUAUGCUUGGAUAGGGUGAAGCCAGAGGAAACUCUGGUGGAGGCUCGCAGCGGUUCUGACGUGCAAAUCGAUCGUCAAAUCUGAGCAU
rnacentral:rRNA from 1 species